GUGAGAUUUAUUUUUUACAUAUAUUGUUAAUAUUUUUUGAAUUAUUUUGUUAUUUUAAAAUAUAAUAACGGUUAAAUAUUCAAAAUAUAUAGGACGUUCAGAGAUUGGGCCGCCUGUGACUAGAUUAGAAGGCUUUGAAUGCCGCCAACAUCACAUUAGUAUAGCUGGCGCCUGGCGUAGCUGGCAGUAGGAAGCAAAUGGCGCGGGGAAUGCGUGCAGUGUAUGUCAUUUUCUAAUUUUUGGAUGCCCGCGCCUCAAGCCCGACCCUAUACGCUGGCUACACAUUAGUUGAAUACAUAUACAGCUAAUAAAUAUAAAUAUAUGAGUAAAAAUAUAUACAGAUAAUUCAAAAAUCUUUUACCUUAAACAUUGCGUGCGGAAGGGAUGAUGGGUAACUCCCUAUUUAGAGUCUUAAAUUCUGGAAAUUUGCUUUGCAACAAUGCUAGGAUUUAUAUCUUUAAACUAGGGUACCUGCAAGGUAGGGAUUCCUGCGGGCAUUAAAAGCAAAUUGAACUACAGUAAACAGCACAAAUUAUAUCAAGCACAGUGAUUACUCGCAGCGACUAGUGAGCUGUGAAAUGUGAAUGGAACUGAUAGCACAGACCAGGGGUUAAAGGGCAAUCAGAGGUGACAGAUAUUAAACAUGUGCGUCUCAUUGGCAUACAGGUAAUUAAGAUCAAAUUUCAUAUCAAGUCUGUUUACUGCUAGGCGCAUUUACUAUAUUUUAUAGACUAUAUACACAGAUUUACGUUAUCAAAAAUAUAAAACUGACAGUGGCCAAAGUCCAAAACAAAUGUAAGCGUAACAUUAGACUUGAAAAGCUUUAGAAAUUCAAUAAAAGACUCGAGCGAGUUUAAAAUAUGUGUUCUGCGCAUAAAAAGCGCGCACGACCACAAUUCCAUGCGGUAAAUAAAAUUUAGUUCAAACCCCUCUCUGCAUAUAUUAGGUUGCUGCUACGCUCGCUCGCUUCAGGCUCGCUCGCUCCGCAGCAAAAAUAAUUAACGCUAUUCGAGUUGCGUGCCUUAUACAAGACGAUCUUCGGGCGAUUUUAAUGCAUUAAUAUAAUUUUUUGUUGAUUCGUCAACACCUUAGGGAGUGGUCAUUAUUUAUGGGGAAGGGGGGGGGGGAGGUUGGGAAAUGGGGAAAUAAGGAUUGAAGACUUUUUUGACACCCCCCCCCCCUCCAGACUGAAGGCAAACUUUUUGUGCCUCCCCCUCAUAAAAGUAGAAACUUUUCUGACCCCUCCCCAGUGUGGAUUGAAAACUUAACAGCAAUGAAACAGGUGUGCGUUGCAGGUAAAGUUAGCUAUUAGGACAAUCAGUUUAAUCUAACUCAUGAUGUUUUACCCUGGUGAAUAUGAUUCAACCAUAUAUGAUUAAAAAAUAUAUAUUAUGUGUUACUACUUUGCAAUGCAACAUUUGUCCUACCAUAACCCUAACCCAUGACCCGUCUUCAUACAGCGACAUGAUUUGAACACAGGGUUUUUUUAAGAACUUGUCGGGGGUGGGCAUCUACAAAAGGGACCAUACUAUAUUGAGUGUGGAGAGAUGACAGAUGGUUGUUGGUGACAAAAAGUUUGGUGUGGUAUCGUAUGUACUAGUAGGGGGGUCUGGGGGUAUUCUCCCCCAGAAAAUUUUUUGUAUUUUUCCACCCCUAGAACUGAAAUGUGAGCAUUUUCUGAAACAGAUUUUUGGAUAUACAGC
rnacentral:lncRNA from 1 species